UACAGAGGGGGCAAGCGUUGUUCGGAAUUACUGGGCGUAAAGGGCGCGUAGGCGGCCUUCUAAGUCGAACGUGAAAUCCCCGGGCUCAACCCGGGAACUGCGUCCGAUACUGGAAGGCUUGAAUCCGGGAGAGGGUUGUGGAAUUCCCGGUGUAGCGGUGAAAUGCGUAGAGAUCGGGAGGAACACCAGAAGCGAAGGCGGCAACCUGGAUAGCAACUGACACUCAACUGCGAAAGCGUGGGGAGCAAACAGG
rnacentral:rRNA from 1 species